GACGAACGCUGGCGGCGUGCUUAACACAUGCAAGUCGAACGGAAAGGCCCUGCUUUUGUGGGGUGCUCGAGUGGCGAACGGGUGAGUAACACGUGAGUAACCUGCCCUUGACUUUGGGAUAACUUCAGGAAACUGGGGCUAAUACCGGAUAGGAGCUCCUGCUGCAUGGUGGGGGUUGGAAAGUUUCGGCGGUUGGGGAUGGACUCGCGGCUUAUCAGCUUGUUGGUGGGGUAGUGGCUUACCAAGGCUUUGACGGGUAGCCGGCCUGAGAGGGUGACCGGCCAAAUUGGGAAUGGGAUUAGGCCCAGAAUUCUAAGGGGGGGAGAAGGGGGGAAUAAUGGAACAUGGGCGGAAGGCCGAUGCAGCAACGCCGCGGGCGGGAUGACGGCCUUCGGGGUGUAAACCGCUUUCGCCUGUGACGAAGCGUGAGUGACGGUAAUGGGUAAAGAAGCACCGGCUAACUACGUG
rnacentral:rRNA from 1 species